UUAAAGAGUUCUAUAACUCCCAAACCCAUGUGAACAUACCUAACGUUGCCUCGGCAGGUCGCACCUACCUUGUAGCACCCUACCCUGUAGGGCCUACCCGGGAGAUGCGGGUAAGCCUGCCGGCGGCCCACCAAACUCUGUUUAAUAUUGAAUUCUGAACAUAUAACUAAAUAAGUUAAAACUUUCAACAACGGAUCUCUUGGUUCUGGCAUCGAUGAAGAACGCAGCGAAAUGCGAUAAGUAAUGUGAAUUGCAGAAUUCAGUGAAUCAUCGAAUCUUUGAACGCAUAUUGCGCCCAUUAGUAUUCUAGUGGGCAGGACCGUUCGAGCGUCAUUUCGACCCUUAAGCCUUAGUUGCUUAGUGUUGGGAGCCUACGGCAACGUAGCUCCUCAAAGUUAGUGGCGGAGUUGGUUCACACUCUAGACGUAGUAAUUUUUUAUCUCGCCUAUUAGUUGGACUGAUCCCCUGCCGUAAAACCCCCAACUUAUCAAGGUUGACCUCGAAUCGGUUCAGACAAACUCGCUAAAUUGAAGCAUCUUAGUCAGCGAAGGAAAAGAAACCAACAGGGAUUGCCCUAGUAACGGCGAGUGAAGCGGCAACAGCUCAAAUUUGAAAUCUGGCCCUCGGGUCCGAGUUGUAAUUUGUAGAGGAUGCUUUUGGCGCGGUGCCUUCCGAGUUCCCUGGAACGGGACGCCUUAGAGGGUGAGAGCCCCGUACGGUUGGACACCAAGCCUCUGUAAAGCUCCUUCGACGAGUCGAGUAGCUUGGGAAUGCUGCUCUAAAUGGGAGGUAAAUUUCUUCUAAAGCUAAAUAUUGGCCAGAGACCGAUAGCGCACAAGUAGAGUGAUCGAAAGA
rnacentral:rRNA from 1 species